GCGGCCUAUCAGCUUGUUGGUGAGGUAAAGGCUCACCAAGGCGACGACGGGUAGCCGGCCUGAGAGGGCGACCGGCCACACUGGGACUGAGACACGGCCCAGACUCCUACGGGAGGCAGCAGCAGGGAAUAUUGGGCAAUGGGCGAAAGCCUGACCCAGCGACGCCGCGUGCGGGAUGAAGGCCUUCGGGUUGUAAACCGCUUUCAGCAAGGAAGAAGCGAAAGUGACGGUACUUGCAGAAGAAGCACCGGCUAACUAUGUGCCAGCAGCCGCGGUAAUACAUAGGGUGCAAGCGUUGUCCGGAAUUAUUGGGCGUAAAGAGCUCGUAGGUGGUUCGUCACGUCGGAUGUGAAAAUCUGGGGCUUAACCCCAGACCUGCAUUCGAUACGGGCGAGCUAGAGUGUGGUAGGGGAGACUGGAAUUCCU
rnacentral:rRNA from 1 species